GUUGGUGAACCAGCGGAGGGAUCAUUACCGAGUUUUCAACUCCCAAACCCCUGUGAACAUACCUAUCGUUGCUUCGGCGGACACGCCCCGGCGCCCCCGGGCCCGGACCAAGGCGCCCGCCGGAGGCCAAAAAACCACUGUGUAUUAUGUUUUCUUCUGAGUAAUUUUAUAAAUAAAUCAAAACUUUCAACAACGGAUCUCUUGGUUCUG
rnacentral:misc_RNA from 1 species